rnacentral:rRNA from 1 species
AGAGUUUGAUCCUGGCUCAGGACGAACGCUGGCGGCACGCUUAACACAUGCAAGUCGAACGAGAGAAGAGGAGCUUGCUUUUCUGAUCUAGUGGCGGACGGGUGAGUAACACGUGAGCAAUCUGCCUUUCUGAGGGGGAUACCGAUUGGAAACGAUCGUUAAUACCGCAUAACAUAAUUGAACCGCAUGAUUUGAUUAUCAAAGAUUUAUCGCUGAAAGAUGAGCUCGCGUCUGAUUAGCUAGUUGGUAAGGUAACGGCUUACCAAGGCGACGAUCAGUAGCCGGACUGAGAGGUUGAUCGGCCACAUUGGGACUGAGACACGGCCCAGACUCCUACGGGAGGCAGCAGUGGGGAAUAUUGCACAAUGGAGGAAACUCUGAUGCAGCGAUGCCGCGUGAGGGAAGAAGGUUUUAGGAUUGUAAACCUCUGUCUUCGGGGACGAAAAAAGACGGUACCUGAGGAGGAAGCUCCGGCUAACUACGUGCCAGCAGCCGCGGUAAUACGUAGGGAGCGAGCGUUGUCCGGAAUUACUGGGUGUAAAGGGAGCGUAGGCGGGAUCGCAAGUCAGAUGUGAAAACUAUGGGCUUAACCCAUAAACUGCAUUUGAAACUGUGGUUCUUGAGUGAAGUAGAGGUAAGCGGAAUUCCUAGUGUAGCGGUGAAAUGCGUAGAUAUUAGGAGGAACAUCAGUGGCGAAGGCGGCUUACUGGGCUUUAACUGACGCUGAGGCUCGAAAGCGUGGGGAGCAAACAGGAUUAGAUACCCUGGUAGUCCACGCCGUAAACGAUGAUUACUAGGUGUGGGGGGACUGACCCCUUCCGUGCCGCAGCAAACGCAAUAAGUAAUCCACCUGGGGAGUACGACCGCAAGGUUGAAACUCAAAGGAAUUGACGGGGGCCCGCACAAGCAGUGGAGUAUGUGGAUUAAUUCGAAGCAACGCGAAGAACUUUACCAGGUCUUGACAUCGUAUGCAUAGCUCAGAGAUGAGUGAAAUCUCUUCGGAGACAUAUAGACAGGUGGUGCAUGGUUGUCGUCAGCUCGUGUCGUGAGAUGUUGGGUUAAGUCCCGCAACGAGCGCAACCCUUACUGUUAGUUGCUACGCAAGAGCACUCUAGCAGGACUGCCGUUGACAAAACGGAGGAAGGUGGGGAUGACGUCAAAUCAUCAUGCCCCUUAUGACCUGGGCCUCACACGUACUACAAUGGCUGUCAACAGAGGGAAGCAAAGCCGCGAGGUGGAGCGAACCCCUAAAAGCAGUCUUAGUUCGGAUUGUAGGCUGCAACCCGCCUACAUGAAGUCGGAAUUGCUAGUAAUCGCAGAUCAGCAUGCUGCGGUGAAUACGUUCCCGGGCCUUGUACACACCGCCCGUCACGCCAUGGGAGUCGGUAACACCCGAAGCCUGUAGUCUAACCGCAAGGAGGACGCAGUCGAAGGUGGGAUUGAUGACUGGGGUGAAGUCGUAACAAGGUA